rnacentral:rRNA from 1 species
GUAUCUGGCUCAGGAUGAACGCUAGCUACAGGCUUAACACAUGCAAGUCGAGGGGGCGAGCAUUUUUUAUAGCAAUAUAAAAGAUGGCGACCGGCGCACGGGUGAGUAACACGUAUCCAACCUGCCGAUAACUCGGGGAUAACCCUUCGAAAAGAAGGCCUAAUACCCGAUGGCAUAUCCCUUCCGCCUGGUGGGGAUAUUAAAGAACUUCGGUUAUCGAUGGGGAUGCGUUCCAUUAGCUUGUUGGCGGGUAACGGCC